UACGUAGGGAGCAAGCGUUGUCCGGAAUCAUUGGGCGUAAAGCGCGCGUAGGCGGCCCUGUAAGUCCGUUGUGAAAGUCAAAGGCUCAACCUUUGAAAGCCGAUGGAUACUGCAGGGCUAGAGUCCAGAAGAGGCGAGUGGAAUUCCUGGUGUAGCGGUGGAAUGCGCAGAUAUCAGGAGGAACACCAAUAGCGAAGGCAGCUCGCUGGGACGGUACUGACGCUAAGGCGCGAAAGCGUGGGGAGCGAACAGG
rnacentral:rRNA from 1 species